rnacentral:rRNA from 1 species
GGGGAAUAUUGCGCAAUGGGCGAAAGCCUGACGCAGCGACGCCGCGUGAGGGAUGAAGGUUUUCGGAUCGUAAACCUCUGUCAGAAGGGAAGAAACCGCACCGUGCUAAUCAGCGGUGCCUUGACGGUACCUUCAAAGGAAGCACCGGCUAACUCCGUGCCAGCAGCCGCGGUAAUACGGAGGGUGCAAGCGUUAAUCGGAAUUACUGGGCGUAAAGCGCACGUAGGCUGCUUUGUAAGUCAGGGGUGAAAUCCCACGGCUCAACCGUGGAACUGCCUUUGAUACUGCUUAGCUUGAAUCCGGGAGAGGGUGGCGGAAUUCCAGGUGUAGGAGUGAAAUCCGUAGAUAUCUGGAGGAACAUCAGUGGCGAAGGCGGACUACUGGGCAUCAACUGACGCUGAGGCUCGAAAGCAUGGGUAGCAAACA